UACGUAGGGGGCAAGCGUUGUCCGGAUUCAUUGGGCGUAAAGAGCGUGUAGGCGGCCAGGUAGGUCGGUUGUGAAAACUGGAGGCUCAACCUUCAGAGGUCGACCGAAACCAUCUGGCUAGAGUCCGGGAGAGGAGAGUGGAAUUCCUGGUGUAGCGGUGAAAUGCGUAGAGAUCGGGAGGAACACCCGUGGCGAAGGCGGCCAACUGGGCAGGACCUGACGCUGAGGCGCGAAGGCGUGGGGAGCGAACGGG
rnacentral:rRNA from 1 species